rnacentral:tRNA from 1 species
GAGGGUAUAGCUCAGUGGUAGAGCACAUGCUUAGCAUUUACAAGGUCCUGGAUUCAAUCCCCAGUACUUUCU